UACGUAGGGUGCGAGCGUUAAUCGGAAUUACUGGGCGUAAAGCGUGCGCAGGCGGUUCGUUGUGUCGGUGGUGAAAGCCCCGGGCUUAACCUGGGAAUGGCCGUCGAAACUGGCGAACUGGAGUGUGGCAGAGGGGGGUGGAAUUCCGCGUGUAGCAGUGAAAUGCGUAGAUAUGUGGAGGAACACCGAUGGCGAAGGCAGCCCCCUGGGUCAAAACUGACGCUCAUGCACGAAAGCGUGGGGAGCAAACAGG
rnacentral:rRNA from 1 species